GACCCAAGCAGCCUCUCUUGAUGAUUCUUCUUCCUGAGCAGCUCUAGUGAUGAGCAAACUGAGCCUCUAAGAAGUUGACUGAAGGGGCUGCUUUCUC